rnacentral:rRNA from 1 species
CCUACGGGAGGCAGCAGUGAGGAAUAUUGGUCAAUGGCCGAGAGGCUGAACCAGCCAAGUCGCGUGAGGGAAGACGGCCCUACGGGUUGUAAACCUCUUUUGUCGGGGAGCAAAGCGAGUCACGUGUGACUCAUUGAGAGUACCCGAAAAAAAAGCAUCGGCUAAUCCCGUGCCAGCAGCCGCGGUAAUACGGAGGAUGCGAGCGUUAUCCGGGUUUAUUGGGGUUAAAGGGUGCGCAGGCGGAGGUGCAAGUCAGCGGUAAAAUUGCGGGGCUCAACCCCGUACUGCCGUUGAAACUGCAUCCCUUGAGUGCGCGAGAAGUAUGCGGAAUGCGUGGUGUAGCGGUGAAAUGCAUAGAUAUCACGCAGAACUCCGAUUGCGAAGGCAGCAUACCGGCGCGCAACUGACGCUCAUGCACGAAAGCGUGGGUAUCGAACAGGAUUAGAUACCCCUGUAGUC